CACGUAGGGGGCAAGCGUUGUCCGGAUUCAUUGGGCGUAAAGAGCUCGUAGGCGGUUCGAUAAGUCAGGUGUGAAACCUCCAGGCUCAACCUGGAGACGCCACCCGAUACUGUCGUGACUAGAGUCCAGUAGGGGAGCGUGGAAUUCCUGGUGUAGCGGUGAAAUGCGCAGAUAUCAGGAGGAACACCAGCGGCGAAGGCGGCGCUCUGGGCUGGAACUGACGCUGAGGAGCGAAAGCGUGGGGAGCGAACAGG
rnacentral:rRNA from 1 species